rnacentral:rRNA from 1 species
UACGGAGGGUGCAAGCGUUAUCCGGAUUCACUGGGUUUAAAGGGUGCGUAGGCGGGUAGGUAAGUCAGCGGUGAAAUCCCCGAGCUUAACUUGGGAACUGCCGUUGAUACUAUUUAUCUUGAAUGUUGUGGAGGUUAGCGGAAUAUGUCAUGUAGCGGUGAAAUGCUUAGAUAUGACAUAGAACACCCAUUGCGAAGGCAGCUAACUACGCAAAUAUUGACGCUGAGGCACGAAAGCGUGGGGAUCAAACAGG